CAAAUGACUCCCGGCAAUGGAUAUCUCGGCUCUUGCAUCGAUGAAGAACGUAGUGAAAUGCGAUACUUGGUGUGAAUUGCAGAAUCUCGUGAACCAUUGAGUCUUUGAACGCAAGUUGUGCCCGAGGCCUUGUGGCCGAGGGCACGCCUGCUUGGGCGUCAUGGC
rnacentral:rRNA from 1 species